rnacentral:rRNA from 1 species
UACGUAGGGUGCAAGCGUUAUCCGGAAUUAUUGGGCGUAAAGAGCUCGUAGGCGGUUUGUCGCGUCUGCUGUGAAAACUGGAGGCUCAACCUCCAGCCUGCAGUGGGUACGGGCAAGCUAGAGUGCGGUAGGGGAGAUUGGAAUUCCUGGUGUAGCGGUGGAAUGCGCAGAUAUCAGGAGGAACACCGAUGGCGAAGGCAGAUCUCUGGGCCGUAACUGACGCUGAGGAGCGAAAGCAUGGGGAGCGAAUGGG